UGGGGAAUAUUGGACAAUGGGCGAAAGCCUGAUCCAGCCAUGCCGCGUGUAUGAAGAAGGCCUUCGGGUUGUAAAGUACUUUCAGCGGGGAGGAAGGCGAUAAGGUUAAUAACCUUGUCGAUUGACGUUACCCGCAGAAGAAGCACCGGCUAACUCCGUGCCAGCAGCCGCGGUAAUACGGAGGGUGCAAGCGUUAAUCGGAAUUACUGGGCGUAAAGCGCACGCAGGCGGUCUGUCAAGUCGGAUGUGAAAUCCCCGGGCUCAACCUGGGAACUGCAUUCGAAACUGGCAGGCUAGAGUCUUGUAGAGGGGGGUAGAAUUCCAUGUGUAGCGGUGAAAUGCGUAGAGAUCUGGAGGAAUACCGGUGGCGAAGGCGGCCCCCUGGACAAAGACUGACGCUCAGGUGCGAAAGCGUGGGGAGCAAACA
rnacentral:rRNA from 1 species